CCCAGUAAACGGCGGCCGUAACUAUAACGGUCCUAAGGUAGCGAAAUUCCUUGUCAGGUAAGUUCUGACCCGCACGAAUGGCGUAAUGACUUGGGCACUGUCUCAACUGCAAAUCCGGCGAAGUUGUAGUGCGAGUGAAGAUGCUCGCUACCCGCGAUUGGACGGAAAGACCCCGUAGAGCUUUACUGUAGCUUAGCAUUGAAUUCCGGUAUUGUCUGUACAGGAUAGGUGGGAGACUGGGAAACUAGGGCGUCAGCCUUAGUGGAGUCAACCUUGGGAUACCACCCUGACAGUACUGGGGUUCUAACAGGACGCCAUGAAGCUGGUGACUGGACAUUGUUAGGUGGGCAGUUUGACUGGGGCGGUCGCCUCCUAAAAAGUAACGGAGGCGCCCAAAGGUUCCCUCAGAACGGUCGGAAAUCGUUCGUAGAGUGCAAAGGCAGAAGGGAGCCUGACUGCGAGACCCACAAGUCGAGCAGGGACGAAAGUCGGGCUUAGUGAUCCGGUGGUACCUCGUGGGAGGGCCAUCGCUCAACGGAUAAAAGCUACCUCGGGGAUAACAGGCUGAUCUCCCCCAAGAGUCCACAUCGACGGGGAGGUUUGGCACCUCGAUGUCGGCUCGUCGCAUCCUGGGGCUGUAGUAGGUCCCAAGGGUUGGGCUGUUCGCCCAUUAAAGCGGUACGCGAGCUGGGUUCAGAACGUCGUGAGACAGUUCGGUCCCUAUCCGGCGCGGGCGUAGGAUAUUUGAGAGGAGCUGUCCUUAGUACGAGAGGACCGGGAUGGACUGACCUCUGGUGCACCAGUUGUUCUGCCAAGAGCAUGGCUGGGUAGCUAAGUCGGGAAGGGAUAAACGCUGAAAGCAUCUAAGCGUGAAGCCCCCCUCAAGAUGAGAUUUCCCAUAGCAUAAGCUAGUAAGACCCCUUGAAGAACACAAGGUUGAUAGGUCAGAGGUGGAAGUGCGGUAACGUAUGUAGCUGACUGAUACUAAUAGGUCGAGGGCUUGACCAA
rnacentral:rRNA from 1 species